CCUACGGGCGGCAGCAGUGGGGAAUAUUGGACAAUGGGGGGAACCCUGAUCCAGCCAUGCCGCGUGUGUGAAGAAGGCCCUCGGGUUGUAAAGCACUUUCAGUGAGGAAGAACACCUGGUGGUUAAUACCCAUCAGGAAAGACAUCACUCACAGAAGAAGCACCGGCUAACUCCGUGCCAGCAGCCGCGGUAAUACGGAGGGUGCGAGCGUUAAUCGGAAUUACUGGGCGUAAAGCGCGCGUAGGUGGCUUGAUAAGCCGGUUGUGAAAGCCCCGGGCUCAACCUGGGAACGGCAUCCGGAACUGUCAAGCUAGAGUGCAGGAGAGGAAGGUAGAAUUCCCGGUGUAGCGGUGAAAUGCGUAGAGAUCGGGAGGAAUACCAGUGGCGAAGGCGGCCUUCUGGACUGACACUGACACUGAGGUGCGAAAGCGUGGGUAGCAAACAGGAUUAGAUACCCGAGUAGUC
rnacentral:rRNA from 1 species